GUUAAUUUCUUCUCAGCCUAACUCCAGAAGUCCCCCCCCCCAGGGGCCCUUCAACCUGGGACAGAAGCUAACAGGGAUCAGUUUCUCAACUUCUUCCCCUUCAGCCAGAAGCCAAGGAAGACUCUCUCCAAAACCAAAAGAAAUAAUUCAACGCUAGAAAUCCCAGCUUCUCCUCCACCACUCUGUCCUAGCCAAGCUCCAACUGCCUUUCCUGGGAACAUUUCCUUUGGAAUCUUCACUUUGAUUGACAGAUGAUGUCCCCAGCUUUCUGUCUUGCAUGCUUGAAAUUCUUUCUUCCUUCAUGCCUCUUCCACAACACCAAAGGACAGGUUCAUCAUGGAAAAAAGUUAAAAGGUCAAAUGAGAAGACAAGAAAUUCAAGAUUUAGGGAGAAGUCAUUUUAGAGGUGGAAGGACUGAAAUGAUCAUGACCCAGACAAAAAAACAUCAAUAAGAUGUAUUUUUAAAAGGAAAGAAAACCACUUGGAAGCAGGAUGGCUUGUCCAAGCUUUGAUUCACUAUUUAAUUUUGCAGAAAGUCAGCUGUAUUACACUGGCCAGGAGGUCAUGCAAUAGCACAAGCUUUACUCUGCCCACAUGAAAAAAGAACAAAUAAACAAACAUAAACCAACA
rnacentral:lncRNA from 1 species